rnacentral:rRNA from 1 species
UACAGAGGGUGCGAGCGUUAAUCGGAAUUACUGGGCGUAAAGGGUGCGUAGGUGGUUUGAUAAGUUAGGUGUGAAAGUCCUGGGCUUAACCUGGGGAUUGCGUUUAAUACUGUCAAGCUAGAGUACUGUAGAGGGGAGUGGAAUUUCCGGUGUAGCGGUGAAAUGCGUAGAUAUCGGAAGGAACAUCAGUGGCGAAGGCGGCUCUCUGGACAGAUACUGACACUGAGGCACGAAAGCGUGGGGAGCAAACAGG